AGAUGGGAGAGAGUUUCCUGUGGGCAAACUUUAGGUUGUAAAUUGACUCUUGUCUCUAGAGACAAUCUUCUGGUGGGAGAGAUUUCCAGCUCUGGGGCUUCUAGAUGCCCUGGAAUACACUUGUGUCAGUGACAAAUGCUGCUUUGCUGUGCUACACCGAGUACAAGGUCGUGAGAAAUACAUGGGCUAUCUUCAGCACAGAACACAAACUCUGCCUUCUUUUCUCAAGUCCAGUGAUUCAAGUUUGACACACCACACCACGGUGGAUGUGCCUUUCAUGACGCAUCUUCUCAGCAGCACUAGAAGAUACAUCCAAAGUCCUGUGAGCAAGGUCUGUGGUAUCUGUUUAUUAUGGCAGCCCAGUGAGACUAAGACAGGCCAUCAAAAGACGUGAACGUUUUGGACCUUCUCUUGGGCCCUAGUAAACAGAAAUCAGGCUACUUAUUAAACUAAACCACGUUCUGAACUGUUACUGCUACUGGAAACCAGUCCCGAUCCAGACCCCAAAAGAGGAUUCUUGGAUCUUGCACAAGAAAGAAAGGAGAGGGACCUGUAGUCAUUACCUUCAAGGAACCUAAAUCCUGGUGUCUUUAUGGUUAUGGGUGGCAUAUAAUAUACAGACACAGUGAAGGAGUGAGAUGUGAAGGUGCUCUGUCAUUGCCUCAGUCAAGACUUUCAUGGUACAUUGGAAGAAAGAGAAGCGUGAACAAAUUGCAUGAUACUUGAGGUCAUGCUGUGUACCUGUAUUGAACAAGAAUAAGGGAAGAAAGCUGGGAACCUGGAUCUCCCAUAUAUUGGAAGUUUUGUAAAAACCUUGAGGGUCCCUUCCACUACAUAUGGGGAUUAUGGGAACUGCAAUUCAAGAUGAGAUUUGAGUGAGGACACAGCCAAACCACAUGGUUUUAGAACAUUGACGAAGAGAGAAGACAACCCACUUUGCCAUAUAUGCCCAUGGUCUUACCAAGGCUAGAGUACAGUGGCACAGUCAUAGCUCACUGCAGCCUUAAACUCCCAGACUCAGGCAAUGGAUCCGAUCCUCCCACCUCAGCCAGCCUCCCAAGUAGCUGAGACUACAGGAGUGGCUGCAUAUGUGUCCCGUUUGUGCGUAUCUGCAUAUAAGAGAAGUUGAGAAAGGGCACAAGAAUGAGGUGACUGCGUGGACAUAGAGCGUAUUAUGAAAGACAAACUCUCCCACAUCCCUCCCAGCAGCGGCUCCAGAAUUUCUUCUUCUCCCCUGAAAACUAACAAGAGAGACUGCCACCAGAUUACUCUUAUCUCAGCACCCAGCUUUGCUUAUUGUUUAUCAGUCACUGAGAAUGUGUGAGGCUCUGAGCUAAUAACUUUUAGAUACAUCUUCUUAUUUAGCCUUUAGAGAAAUGCUGUGAGAUAAGUACUGUGUUAUUGGCCCCAUUUUAAAAUUAAUGGGAUAGAAACCCUGCAGGGCAACUCACCCUGGGUCAGCAGCUGGCAUAGAGCUGAGCCCGGGUCUGAGCUGAACUCAGUUUGCCCACAGACCCUCCGCACCACCGCACUAUUAGGUCCCCUUUAUCUGGCCCACUAUUUCAUGGUCACGUGCAUCAUUUCUGUGCUUUGCCACAUUGUUUUAAUUUCUUUAACUCACAGUAUUAUUUCUGUGAGAUAUUUCAGAGGCAAGAAUUCCUCCAUAGUAGGAAUUGUGUCUACUUAGUAGGCUGUGUCUACUUAGCUCGCAUUUCUCAGUGUUUGUCAGUUUCUCUGCAGUGACAGGUCCCCUAAAAUGGGUUACAUCACAAAAAUGAUUUCGGAGCCACAAUUUAAAAAUAAAAAUGAAA
rnacentral:lncRNA from 1 species